AAGCUUAGGAUGAACAAACCGAGGGCCUUCAAAGCCCUAGACAAGAGCAAUGAUCUCUUAGCCUCUGCCU
rnacentral:tRNA from 1 species